rnacentral:lncRNA from 10 species
GGCUGUCUCCCAUAUUUUUCACUGUUUCACCCCUUUGUAACUAAAAUAACAAGAGGUGGGGAGAGCCACUAUCUUUUUAAGCAGCUGCUCCAUUCCUACCGGUUUCUAUUCAACCUGAGAUCAGCUGCAAGCCCUUAGCCUUUUUCUCAGGCACCUCUGGCAAACCAAACUUCCUAUAUCCUAUGCUUAUGCAGCUGAUUUUUUUUUUUUAAUCUAAAUGCAGGUCUCUCCACUUACUCUUUUAAAUUUCAUCCUGCUGGUUUCAGCCCACUGUUUCAAGUUAUUUUAGAAUCUUGACUUUGAAAUAUUAGCUUUUCAUCCCAACAGUGGUGCCUUCUGCAAAUUUGGCAAGUGUAGUGGGCACUGACCACUACUAGGCUGACCAGGGUCUAGGAGCACAGAACUAGAGAUACUUCCUCAGCAAGCUCUGCAGCAAUCGGAUAACCAACUGGGGUGAAGGAGCACAGCAGUUACAUGAAUCCACCUGACUGGGCAGUCUCUGAGAUCGAUAUUUUCCUACUAGCCUCUUCAAUCGUGAGACAAUCAAUGUCUAACUGGAAACAAGGAACACUAUGUAUGGCCCAAGGAAUUUUCCUAGUGGCCUUCUGAGUAAAUAAGUAACAAAUUAUUGUUGAUAUUUUUAUCAUUUUCGCCGCAUCUUGUUCUUUGUGAAGAUACCACUUAUUUUUCUAGGUGUUCUCAAGCAAGGUGUUCUCAAAUCCAUGGUUUAAUGUUAUAUUCUAGAAUAGAUUUUGAGGGAAAUGUGCCCAGGAUCUCCCUUUUCUUCUUUUUUGUCAGGGUAUUUGCAGCUGUCCAGGACUGUGGCCCCUGUCCUUUUCGCCGCAGCUUUCAUAGCCACAUUGGCAAAGGUCCCUGGAUCUUAUCUGCAAAGGUCUGUCAUCACCUUGGGAUUUGCAGCUCAUUUUGAAUGGCUAGGUGGUUAGGUUUUCUCUUAUCUUUUCUUCUAUUUGGGGUUUAAUGUCCUCUAACCCCUGUUUUGCUGAACUCUUCCCAGUCUGGAAGUGCUUUUCCUCGGGGGAGAAAGAGGAAAAUCAGAGUUGAGUAUUCUGCUUUCUCUGAAAACUGCCAACCUGACAUCUUCAUCCCCAGAUGGAACCCUGUCUUCUCCUUUUUCCUCUUGCUUGAACAUAACCAGCAAUAUCUUUUAUUGUCUGCACCUUUUCCAAGUCUCAGUUUAUCACGGACUUCACCUUUCCUUCCGUCUCUUGUACCCCACCUUUUAAAUUUUGAACUUAUCAGAGAGCUCUCUACAGAGCCACACUGGUUUCUUUGGCUCUCCUUUUCUCUGCACAGGGAUUUUCAGCAAAUGCGAUAGCCUAAUUUAUCCCAGAGCUUCCUAUCCCUCUUGUGCCAUAUUGCCAUCUUGUCUCUAAACUUAGAAUCAUAACUUUUUUCUAACUUUUCAAAUCAUUUUUCUGGGAUUAUUUAUUUAUCCAAUCAUCCAUUCAUCCCAUGCCCACAUGCCCUUCCUUCCAAAUCCAACUUUCUCCUUUGGUUCCUGUCUCAUCAACAGCACCAGGGGAGUCUUUCCCCAUCAGAAGGAAGGUUGGGGGAGCAGCUCCCUGGCAGCUUUUUCUUCCAGCUGAGAGGAAACUGUCAUUGAUGAAUGUGAAGAGUUUAUCAGCCACUCAGCGACUAGCUGGGCGAGACUGUAGUUACCAGGACAGGGCAGUCUCCAGCUCAGUGCCUGCUGCUCUCAGAGCACGUCAGGCAGUCAGAUGUGUGCUUCCCUGGGGACACGACUUCCACGAGCUCAUCUAGCAGUCUCACCCUCAACACCUGGUUUCCUCCAAUUUGGCAGUGUGCUGUGGUGUAAAGCUUGCAGGAUGUGGACUCCAAUAUACCCAGGUUUGCAUUCUAGUUUUGCUAUUUACUAGCAAGUCACUUAAAUCUUUAUCUCUGAGCUUCCAUUUCUCUCACUUAAAAAGUGAGAAAAAGUGGCUAUUAUCAGGCUCAUGGGGUGAUUGAGCUGACAUAUGUAUGUACCUGUGCAUGGAAGGUUUCAAACACACCAGCUUCUGUGCUCAGCUUAGCUUCAUGGAGUCUCACGUGUCACAUGUUCUGGGUGAACUGUUGUUUUUUUCCCUUUCUAUUAAAACUGUUUCUUUUGGACAGGGUGUAAUGUAUGUCUUUGCCCAGUGAACCUUCCUUGGAUGAGCCAUGCAUCCCACUAGAAAACAGUCCAGCUCUGAGAAGAGUGUGGGGGCGGAGGACAGGAAACAGAACAGAACAGCAGAAUGUAUGUGGUUCUGGGGCUGACCCUGGACCUCUACCCCUUCAGAUGGGCCUGUGACUCAGGCCUGGCUAGCGUCUCCCAGACACACCAAAUGCUUUACAGAUGGGUGUGUGUUUCAAGCCAGAGUCCUCCUGGGGAUUUUUGCUGGAGCUCUCCAAAGUGAUUUUGCUCUUUCUCUGGAAUCACAAGCUCUAAGAAGCCAUGUGAGUGGAGCUGCCAGCUGGCAUCUUGUUGCCAUGUGGAGAGCCCGUCGGAGAGGGAAACCAGCCGAGGGGUGGGAAGACCGAAUCCCGAUGCCCUUGUUUGAACCCCCAGAUUCACCACUGGCCAUUUUUAUUACUUGAGCCAAUGUAGCCAGUUUGAGUUGGGCUUCUGGGCAUCUAACUAACUGUUGAGCAUACAAUGUUGAUCCUUUCAUUAUUAUAAUAAAACCACGACAGGAAGACAAGAUAGAGGCUGCAGCAACAGCUGAGCAGAGAUGAUGCCUAAAGGCGACGGGAAAGAAAGGGAGGUGACAAAUUCAGAGGCGUUUCUGAGAAUCCAGCAGUGAUUUUCUAGAAGCAGAGGGAGGGGUAGGGAGGACACAAACUCAUCUCCAGGGUUUCUAGCUUGGGGAAUAGGGGCAUAAUGCUGUGUUUAUAAUAGAAUUUAGAGUGCAAGUACCACCACAGGCUUGGGAAGAGGGCUUGAGAUGUAACUCAGUUUGGGGAUCCUCAAGGACAUUCAGUGGAUAUUCAGUGGAUACAGCUAGGAGGCAGCUGACUUUGUUCAACACACAUCUGUGGAGUCUCUACCAUGUGCCAGUCCCUGUUCUAGGUGCUCAUUAUAUGGCAGAAAUCCAGCUUUGAAGAAAGGUUAGGACAGUAAGAGAUGCAAUUCCACUUGCCUCCAAAUGCUUUAGCCUUUACUAACGCCGUAACUUUGCCCAUAUUAUUGUCUAUACUUGGAAAGUAGCCCCUCCCUUCUAAUUCUUAAAAUUCUAAUAACUAUCACAUACCAAAUAUUUACUCUAUGCCAGACAUGGUACUAAAUCUAAUACUCUAGGGUGGGCAUGGUGGCUCAUCCCUGUAAUCCUAGCACUUUGGGAGGCCGAGGAGGGUGGAUCACCUGAGGUCAGGAGUUUGAGACCAGCCUGGGUAAC